GCUUCCUGGAGCUGUCACCAUUUCCCCACCCCCUGGUGACUUUCUCUUCGGGGAGUGGUUUCGACGAAGGGAGGGCGGGAGGUGCCCGCGGGCAGUGCGAGGGGUGCCCCGAACCCGGAACCCCCCGCCUCCCCGACGCUGAUCCCCUCUCCGAGGGAUGGGUCCUCCCCCGUGCGAGGGUCCCGCAAGCCCGGACCAAUGCCCGGCGAGUUUUGGGGUCCCACUUACUCCCUGGGAAGCGUUUCAGGGCACCUAAGCUGACCCUCCAACAUCUGAGAAAUAAAAAGAAAAAGAAACCUACUUCUCUCCACUGCUUUCAAAAAGUAGUUGAUGGGGUAUUUUCCACCAGCCAAAAACACCUGUUGUCAAGAGUCUGUUGAGGCCAGUGCCUGUGGAGCCUGAGCACCAGAUCACAAAAAUUAUUAUUUUUCUGAUGUAGCAAUGAAUGUUAUUAUAGCAUUUGUUAUGAAAAAUGUACCUUGUCUAUAAUUUGUAACGUAGCAACUAGGUAAAUGGAUUGAAAAAAUACAGUUGACUUAUCUGCUAUGAAGUGAUUUUUUUUUCUGUAUAAGAAAGAGCGGAUUAUGUGGUUAAUACUUGGGAUUACUCAGAAAAAAAAUUAAGCAUGAUUUCAAUAUCUCUUCUCAAGUCUGAAAUUAAGUCAAGAGCUAGAUGAUAAUCCAGCAUAGGCUACUUCAGACACCUCAUUUCCCCACAAACAUUUAUAUAAUCAGAAUCUGUUUUUAUUACUUAAUUUUUCCAACUCCAUCUAAAACUGAAAAUUGUCCCACCCAAAAAGAAUAAGAAGCAAUGACCACACACACAACUCCAUGUCAUUUACCACCAUGGGUAUUCAGUCUGCAGGUCCCAGAUAGAGCUUUCGGCCUUUGAUAUCCAAUUCUAGGAAGGCUUGGGAAGCCAAGCCUCAAACACUGCAAGGGGAAGCUGGAGUUACCUUCUGAUGCUUCUACCUCCAAAAGGGUCCAUAGUACUGUCAUAAAAUAUCCCAUAAUUAGAAUUUAGAGAUGGUGUGUCCUACUUAUUCACUGAUACAUAAUUAACUGAAACACAGAUUGACCGAUGUUAGUUCUAACACUUCUGAAAUUUUUCUCUUUUACUGCCAAGGCUUGUUCAUAACAGGAAUUGUAGUAACUAAUUCAGUAAAGUUCUUUAGAAGAGCCAGGAAAUAUACAAUAUCAGUAAAAGUCAUCUCUCACUAGAAGCACUAACAUGAAUGGGUGAAAUAUGUCAAAAGGUUUUGAUGGCAAACUUCUUUCUGUUUUCCACAAGACACACAGGAUCAAUCCACACAUUUGCUAGACUUAACCUCUGAUCAUGUUAAAAGAAACCAGAAUGCAAUUUGGGUGUCUGCUCUUGUUAACAGGGGUUUAUGGAAAACAAAUUGGACAUGACUUCCUGUUCCCUGAGACCUUUCACUGACAAGAACUUGAUCUGUGGAAUUACAUUGCAUGGUGAAUGCAACACACUUAAUAUAAUGGGAUCAGCCAAUCUCUGGUCAUGGCAACAUUAUAAACCAUUCCAUGUAACUGUUCAAAAGUCACUCUCUUGCUAGUCUCAUUUUUAUGCUUAAAACCAAUAAAAAAUAAUAUUCUUCAUAUAUUCUUAAGUGACUAGAGAUUUACCUAACUUUUCGUUGCUAACAGAACAUAAAACACUUCAGACAUGUAAACAUAAAUAAAUUGUCAUAAGGAAUUCAAAUGAGCUGUUACUAUUGAUUUCCCAUUUAUUGCUGUCCACAAGUGAACACUUUUCCUGCUUUACUUAGAAGCAAAUUCCAGUAAUACCGGAAUUAUUUUCUUCUAAAGUGAUUUGUGAACACUGAACCAUGAUGACGAAUCUAAUUUAAAAAUUUAAUUAAUAACAUAGGUAUCCAAACAUACAUCUGUAAAAUCACUUAAUAAUUGCAAUGUAUCAACCAGCAAUUGCAUUUCUAAGCUGUUCAAGGGAUCUCUUCAUGUGUGCCAGUGUUCAGUAUAGUAGUAAAAUUGUCAUGAAAGGUUUCAUGAUCAUGUUGGAGACAGUCUACUAGAAAUAUAAAAUUAAUAACACAGUAUUAUUAUUUCAUCACUUUAUUCCAGAAAGUAUUAAAACAUAAAUGUAUAAACUGUGAGAAUUAAAAAAA